UACAGAGGGGGCAAGCGUUAUUCGGAAUUAUUGGGCGUAAAGGGCGCGUAGGCGGCUUUGCAAGUGACGGGUGAAAUCCCUCGGCUUAACCGAGGAACUGCCUGUCAAACUGCAUGGCUUGAGACCGGGAGAGGUGAGUGGAAUUCCCAGUGUAGCGGUGAAAUGCGUAGAUAUUGGGGAGGAACACCAGUGGCGAAGGCGGCUCACUGGACCGGUACUGACGCUGAGGUGCGAAAGCGUGGGGAGCAAACAGG
rnacentral:rRNA from 1 species